AUUGAACGCCGGCGGCAUGCCUUACACAUGCAAGUCGAACGGCAGCACGGGUGCUUGCACCUGGUGGCGAGUGGCGAACGGGUGAGUAAUAUAUCGGAACGUACCUUAUUGUGGGGGAUAACGCAGCGAAAGCUGUGCUAAUACCGCAUAAUCCCUAAGGGGGAAAGCGGGGGACCGUAAGGCCUCGCGCAAUUAGAGCGGCCGAUACCUGAUUAGCUAGUUGGUGAGGUAAAGGCUCACCAAGGCAACGAUCAGUAGCUGGUCUGAGAGGACGAUCAGCCACACUGGGACGAAGACACGGCCCAGACUCCUACGGGAGGCAGCAGUGGGGAAUUUUGGACAAUGGGGGCAACCCUGAUCCAGCAAUGCCGCGUGAGUGAAGAAGGCCUUCGGGUUGUAAAGCUCUUUUGUCAGGGAAGAAACAGCAGCUCUAACACAGUUUGCGAAUGACGGUACCUGAAGAAUAAGCACCGGCUAACUACGUGCCAGCAGCCGCCGUAA
rnacentral:rRNA from 1 species